GUUAAUACCUUGCUGUUUUGACGUUACCGACAGAAUAAGCACCGGCUAACUUCGUGCCAGCAGCCGCGGUAAUACGAAGGGUGCAAGCGUUAAUCGGAAUUACUGGGCGUAAAGCGCGCGUAGGUGGUUUGUUAAGUUGGAAGUGAAAGCCCCGGGCUCAACCUGGGAACUGCUUUCAAAACUGGCAAGCUAGAGUAUGGCAGAGGGUGGUGGAAUUUCCUGUGUAGCGGUGAAAUGCGUAGAUAUAGGAAGGAACACCAGUGGCGAAGGCGACCACCUGGGCUAAUACUGACACUCAGGGACGAAAGCUAGGGGAGCGAAUGGGAUUAGAUACCCCAGUAGUCCUAGCCGUAAACGAUGGAUACUAGGUGUUGUCUGUAUCGACCCGGACAGUGCCGUAGCUAACGCGUUAAGUAUCCCGCCUGGGGAGUACGCACGCAAGUGUGAAACCCAAGGAAUUGACGGGGGCCCGCACAAGCGGUG
rnacentral:rRNA from 1 species